UAGUCCACGCCCUAAACGAUGUCUACUAGUUGUCGGGUCUUAAUUGACUUGGUAACGCAGCUAACGCGUGAAGUAGACCGCCUGGGGAGUACGGUCGCAAGAUUAAAACUCAAAGGAAUUGACGGGGACCCGCACAAGCGGUGGAUGAUGUGGAUUAAUUCGAUGCAACGCGAAAAACCUUACCUACCCUUGACAUGUCAGGAAUCCUCGAGAGAUCGGGGAGUGCCCGAAAGGGAGCCUGAACAC
rnacentral:rRNA from 1 species